rnacentral:tRNA from 1 species
GCCUGUGUCGCACAAUCGGCUGUGCACCCGCCUCUUAAGCGGUGACCAUGAGAGUUCGAAUCUCUUCACAGGCA